rnacentral:rRNA from 1 species
AGAGUUUGAUCCUGGCUCAGGAUGAACGCUGGCGGCGUGCCUAAUACAUGCAAGUCGAACGAGGUGCUUUUGUAGCAAUACGAGAGUAUCCUAGUGGCGAACGGGUGAGUAACGCGUGGGUGACCUGCCCCAAAGUGUGGGAUAACAGUCCGAAAGGAUUGCUAAUACCGCAUGUGGUUAUCGGUUUUAGAAAGCGAUAACUAAAGCAGCAAUGCGCUUUGGGAGGGACCUGCGUCCCAUCAGCUAGUUGGUGAGGUAACGGCUCACCAAGGCGACGACGGGUAGGGGACCUGAGAGGGUGGCCCCCCACAAUGGAACUGAAACACGGUCCAUACACCUACGGGUGGCAGCAGUAGGGAAUAUUGCUCAAUGGGCGAAAGCCUGAAGCAGCAACGCCGCGUGUGCGAUGAAGGCCUUCGGGUCGUAAAGCACUUUUCUAAGAGAUGAGAAAGGACAGUAUCUUAGGAAUAAGUCUCGGCUAACUACGUGCCAGCAGCCGC